CCUUAUCAUUUAGAGGAAGGAGAAUUCGUAACAAGGUUACCAUAGGGGAACCUGUAGUAGGAUCAUU
rnacentral:rRNA from 1 species